UGUGGGAGCGAGCCUGCUCGCGAUAGCGGUCGUUCAGUUGGCCCUAAGUGACUGAAACGCCGCAAUCGCGAGCAGGCUCGCUCCCACA
rnacentral:misc_RNA from 1 species